rnacentral:rRNA from 1 species
UACGAAGGGUGCGAAGCGUUAGUCGGAAUUACUGGGCGUAAAGCGCGCGCAGGCGGCUAUCCAAGUCUGUGGUGGAAAGCCCGAGCUCAACUCCGGAACUGCCAUUGAAACUGUUUGCUUGAGGAUGAGAGAGGUGAGUGGAAUUCCCAGUGUAGAGGUGAAAUUCGUAGAUAUUGGAAGAACACCGUGGCGAAGGCGGCUCACUGGCUCAUUACUGACGCUCAGGCGCGAUGAGCGUGGGAUCAAACAGG